CCCGGCGAGGGGAGUGAAAAAGAACCUGAAACCGUGUACGUACAAGCAGUGGGAGCACCUUCGGGUGUGACUGCGUACCUUUGUAUAAUGGGUCAGCGACUUAUAUUCUGUAGCAAGGUUAACCGUAGUAGGGAGCCGCAGGAAACCGAGUCGUUAACUGGGCGUUAAGUUGCAGGGUAUAGACCCGAAACCGGUGAUCUAGCCAUGGGCAGGUUGAAGGUUGGGUAACACUAACUGGAGGACCGAACCGACUAAUGUUGAAAAAUUAGCGGAUGACUUGUGGCUGGGGGUGAAAGGCCAAUCAAACCGGGAGAUAGCUGGUUCUCCCCGAAAGCUAUUUAGGUAGC
rnacentral:rRNA from 1 species